CCUACGGGUGGCUGCAGUGGGGAAUAUUGGACAAUGGGGGCAACCCUGAUCCAGCCAUGCCGCGUGUGUGAAGAAGGCCCUCGGGUUGUAAAGCACUUUCAGUGAGGAAGAACGCCUGGUGGUUAAUACCCAUCAGGAAAGACAUCACUCACAGAAGAAGCACCGGCUAACUCCGUGCCAGCAGCCGCGGUAAUACGGAGGGUGCGAGCGUUAAUCGGAAUUACUGGGCGUAAAGCGCGCGUAGGUGGCUUGAUAAGCCGGUUGUGAAAGCCCCGGGCUCAACCUGGGAACGGCAUCCGGAACUGUCAAGCUAGAGUGCAGGAGAGGAAGGAAGAAUUCCCGGUGUAGCGGUGAAAUGCGUAGAGAUCGGGAGGAAUACCAGUGGCGAAGGCGGCCUUCUGGACUGACACUGACACUGAGGUGCGAAAGCGUGGGUAGCAAACAGGAUUAGAUACCCGUGUAGUC
rnacentral:rRNA from 1 species